rnacentral:rRNA from 1 species
UACGUAGGGUGCGAGCGUUGCCCGGAUUUAUUGGGCGUAAAGGGCGCGUAGGCGGCCACGCACGUCCGUUGUGAAAUCGCCCGGCUCAACUGGGCGGGGUCGGCGGAUACGGCGUGGCUGGAGCAAGCUAGGGGGCAAUGGAAUUCCCGGUGUAGUGGUGAAUGCGUAGAUAUCGGGAGGAACACCAGUGGCGAAGGCGACUUCCUGGCCUGUUCUUGACGCUGAGGCGCGAAAGCUAGGGGAGCAAACGGG